rnacentral:rRNA from 1 species
UACGGAGGGUGCAAGCGUUAUCCGGAUUCACUGGGUUUAAAGGGUGCGUAGGCGGCCUGAUAAGUCAGUGGUGAAAGCUUCCCGCUUAACGGGAAAACUGCCAUUGAAACUGUCGGGCUUGAGUACGAUUGAUGUGGGCGGAAUACAUCAUGUAGCGGUGAAAUGCUUAGAUAUGACAUAGAACACCGAUAGCGAAGGCAGCUUGCUACACAAUGAUUGACACUGAGGCUCGAAAGCGUGGGGAUCAAACAGG